rnacentral:misc_RNA from 1 species
GAUGAAGAACGUAGCGAAACGCGAUAUGUAAUGUGAAUUGCAGAAUUCAGUGAAUCAUCGAAUCUUUGAACGCACAUGGCGCCUUCCAGUAUCCUGGGAGGCAUGCCUGUCCGAGCGUCGUUUCAACCCUCGAGCCCCCGUGGCCCGGCGUUGGGGAUCUGCCCAGGCAGUCCCCGAAAACCAGUGGCGGACCCGUUACAGGCCCUUCCCUUGCGUAGUAGCAUUCGCCUCGCAUCGGGAGCCGGCGGGCUUCCAGCCUCUAAACCCCCAUCAAGUCCGCCCCGGCGGCGCCAAGGUUGACCUCGGAUCAGGUAGGAAUACCCGCUGAACUUAAGCAUAUCAAUAAGCGGAGGA